rnacentral:rRNA from 1 species
GAUGAACGCUGGCGGCGUGCUUAACACAUGCAAGUCGAACGGAAAGGCCGAAGCUUGCUUCGGUACUCGAGUGGCGAACGGGUGAGUAACACGUGGGUGAUCUGCCCUGUACUUCGGGAUAAGCUUGGGAAACUGGGUCUAAUACCGGAUAUGACGAUCUCUUGGAUGGGGUUGUGGAAAGCUUUUGCGGUAUGGGAUGAGCUCGCGGCCUAUCAGCUUGUUGGUGGGGUAAUGGCCUACCAAGGCGUCGACGGGUAGCCGGCCUGAGAGGGUGUACGGCCGCAUUGGGACUGAGAUACGGCCCAGACUCCUACGGGAGGCAGCAGUGGGGAAUAUUGCACAAUGGGCGCAAGCCUGAUGCAGCGAGGCCGCGUGGGGGAUGACGGCCUUCGGGUUGUAAACUCCUUUGGCAAUCGACGAAGCCUUUUGGUGACGGUAGGUUGAGAAGAAGCACCGGCUAACUACGUG